AUGCGACGAAUUCCGCCCUCUCUACGUUGUAGAGACCUCGGUUAUGAAGCACAAGUUAUGAAACGGGCUUUUCAAUUGAUACAUCAUCAUCCCUUACUUGCCUUCCAACAUCAUGAUGGUUAUCUGAAUCAACAUCUGUCUCAUCACAUAUUAUAUCCAAUCUACUAUGCAGGCCAAGGACUGGCGUUCAACUUGAAGCGAGUCUAUGCAGAGCUCUCAUUAGCAUGA
rnacentral:lncRNA from 1 species